AGCAGUCGCCGCGGUAAAACGGAGGGUGCAAGCGUUGUCCGGAUUUAUUGGGUUUAAAGGGUGCGUAGGCGGCCUAAUAAGUCAGUGGUGAAAGCCUCCAGCUUAACUGGAGAACUGCCAUUGAUACUGUUAGGCUUGAGUAUACUUGAGGUAGGCGGAAUUGACAGUGUAGCGGUGAAAUGCAUAGAUAUUGUCAAGAACACCAAUUGCGAAGGCAGCUUACUAAAUUAUAACUGACGCUGAGGCACGAAAGUGUGGGUAUCAAACAGGAUUAGAUACCCGGGUAGUCCCUGUCUCUUAUAC
rnacentral:rRNA from 1 species